UUCUGUCGCGCUUUUGACUUU
ensembl:piRNA 21ur-5560 ncRNA